rnacentral:lncRNA from 10 species
UACUGAGGUUUCAUUCUGUUCCUCUGAUUGUACAGAAAGGGCUGCUUUGGCCUAGACAGCUCCGCGGUUCUCUUCUGCGGUGUCCCACCACUUGGAGGCUGGAAGGUGAAGACAUCAGGGAAGAGGAACUGCCUUCAACCGUCAUUGACUCUGCUCACCAGCCCAGAUUUCUUUGCUUUGGCUUUUUCCCAGUCACUCACAGGGAGGUAUUUAAAUCGCCACAGAAAGGGGAAGGUACCUAAAAUGAUCUGGGAGCCUGCAGUGACUGGUGAGAACUAACAGGCGGAGGCCGUGUGCGAGGGUUGAUGACGUCUGACAGACUGUACCUGUGCCUUUAGCGUGUCCACAGGAAGGGCAUCUGCAUUCACCAGCGCAGGGUGUGAGAGUGCCACAGAGAAGCAGAAAAACAUUGCUGAAUAAAAUGAAGAUCAUUCC